CAAUUAGAGGCACUGAAGUGUGCAAAAAUAUGUCACCAAGUCACUGAUGCGCCCUUCAUCAUGGACGAUAUAAGAACCGGGCGCGAGGCGACAGAAAUAUGUAUUGCUAGUCGAUCGUAGCAGGCCGUGCCGAACAGUUCCAGCGCAGCGCAAGAACGGGAAUGUUAAUGCCGCAUCAAGAGUUAUGAUAAAUGGUGUGAUUUUGCAAGGGGCGCGCGAAGAAAUAUGUUACUGUCGCUCCACAGACGUAGAAGAAAUAGCUCUUAAUAGUGUAGAGACGUGGUUUGAUCGGUACGCAAUUGCGGUAAUUUUUAAAACAUUCUUAUUAUUUGUCUGACAGUAGGAUUCAAAAUGAGAUUUAAGAUAGAAUUCC
rnacentral:misc_RNA from 1 species